rnacentral:lncRNA from 1 species
CAUCAACAAAACGUUAACAAUUGAUCAAAUGCAUCCAAUGACAAUGCCUGAAAUACUGUAGUCCUCAAUAUCUCCUAUUAGCUUAGCCCAAUAUGUUCUCUUAAAGGGGCAAUCAGCGGUUGUUACAUCCAUUUUGGGACUUAUUAAAUAAUUAAGACACACAAAUGACUCGAGGGAGCCAGAGAUUAAGAUAGCCUAACCAUCAGAAAAAAACUCUUCCUUAGCCUACUCCUUCCGCUGCUGCUGGCCUUCGUAAAUUCUGAUGUUAUGGUCCUAUAGUUUCUGGUAAUAGACUACACCACCAGUCGUUAUGCUCCUAUAGUUUCUGGUAAUAGGCUACACCAGCAGUCGUUAUGCUCCUAUAGUUUCUGGUAAUAGGCUACACCAGCAGUCGUUAUGCUCCUAUAGUUUCUGGUAAUAGGCUACAGCUGCAGUUAUUAUACUCCUAUAGUUUUUGGUAAUAGGCUACACCAGCAGUCAUUAUGCUCCUAUAGUUUCGGGUAAUAGCCUACACCAGCAUCGUUAUGCUCCUAUAGUUUCUGGUAAUAGGCUACACCAGCAGUCGUUAUGCUCCUAUAGUUUCUGGUAAUAGGCUACACCAGCAGUCGUUAUGCUCCUAUAGUUUCUGGUAAUAGACUACACCAGCAGUC